rnacentral:rRNA from 1 species
GAUGAACGCUAGCUACAGGCUUAACACAUGCAAGUCGAGGGACCGGCGCACGGGUGAGUAACACGUAUCCCACCUGCCCUUUACUCGGGGAUAGCCGUUCGAAAGAAAGAUUAAUACCCGAUGUAAAGGAUGGGGAUGCGUUCCAUUAGGUUGUUGGUGAGGUAACGGCUCACCCAGCCUUCGAUGGAGAGGGGUUAUGAGAGGAAGGUCCACCACAUUGGAACUAAGGCACGGACCAAACUCGUACGGGAGACAGCAGUAAGUAAUAGUGGUGAAUGGGCGUGAGCGUGAACCAGCCCAGUGGCGUGAAGGAUGAAGGCUUUUGGGUCGUAAACUUCUUUUGUAUAAGAAUAUGUAUUAUAUGAAUAAGUAUCGGCUAACUCCGUGCCAGCAGCCGCGGUAAUAC